CCUCUCUUGAUCUUACCGAAUACCCAAAAGGCAGAGAGAAGACACUUCCAACCACUGUCAAGGUUUGUCAUUAGUUUCUUCAAGCAUAGGAACUCUUCAAUAUGCAACUGUGUUGUUGGUUGCUUUUUGGCAUGGGUGGUGUAGGAAAGGGGCUUUAAAUGAUUGAUUAGCAGCACAAGAGGGGCACAUCAGCAGGGGAUGGUGGCAGAUGAUGCUUAUUGUUUUUUGUUAAUUUUUUAAGUUCUAGAAAUCCUGGUUUAAUGUGUAUUAAUCAAUUGAGUAUUGACGUUUAUUUGUAUUUA